GACGAACGCUGGCGGCGUGCUUAACACAUGCAAGUCGAGCGGUAAGGCCCUUUCGGGGGUACGACGAGCGGCGAACGGGUGAGUAACACGUGGGUGACCUGCCCUCCAGCUCUGGGAGUAAAGCCUGGGAAACGUGGGUCUAAUACCGGAUAUGACUCCAUGACGCAUGUUUGGUGGGGUGGAAAGCCUUGUGCGGCUGAGGAUGGGCCCGCGGCCUAUCAGCUUGUUGGU
rnacentral:rRNA from 1 species